GGGUUGUGAGGUUAAGCGACUAAGCGUACACGGUGGAUGCCCUGGCAGUCAGAGGCGAUGAAGGACGUGCUAAUCUGCGAUAAGCGUCGGUAAGGUGAUAUGAACCGUUAUAACCGGCGAUUUCCGAAUGGGGAAACCCAGUGUGUUUCGACACACUAUCAUUAACUGAAUCCAUAGGUUAAUGAGGCGAACCGGGGGAACUGAAACAUCUAAGUACCCCGAGGAAAAGAAAUCAACCGAGAUUCCCCCAGUAGCGGCGAGCGAACGGGGAGCAGCCCAGAGCCUGAAUCAGUGUGUGUGUUAGUGGAAGCGUCUGGAAAGGCGCGCGAUACAGGGUGACAGCCCCGUACACAAAAAUGCACAUAUUGUGAGCUCGAUGAGUAGGGCGGGACACGUGGUAUCCUGUCUGAAUAUGGGGGGACCAUCCUCCAAGGCUAAAUACUCCUGACUGACCGAUAGUGAACCAGUACCGUGAGGGAAAGGCGAAAAGAACCCCGGCGAGGGGAGUGAAAAAGAACCUGAAACCGUGUACGUACAAGCAGUGGGAGCCUCUUUUAUGGGGUGACUGCGUACCUUUUGUAUAAUGGGUCAGCGACUUAUAUUCUGUAGCAAGGUUAACCGAAUAGGGGAGCCGAAGGGAAACCGAGUCUUAACUGGGCGUUAAGUUGCAGGGUAUAGACCCGAAACCCGGUGAUCUAGCCAUGGGCAGGUUGAAGGUUGGGUAACACUAACUGGAGGACCGAACCGACUAAUGUUGAAAAAUUAGCGGAUGACUUGUGGCUGGGGGUGAAAGGCCAAUCAAACCGGGAGAUAGCUGGUUCUCCCCGAAAGCUAUUUAGGUAGCGCCUCGUGAACUCAUCUCCGGGGGUAGAGCACUGUUUCGGCAAGGGGGUCAUCCCGACUUACCAACCCGAUGCAAACUGCGAAUACCGGAGAAUGUUAUCACGGGAGACACACGGCGGGUGCUAACGUCCGUCGUGAAGAGGGAAACAACCCAGACCGCCAGCUAAGGUCCCAAAGUCAUGGUUAAGUGGGAAACGAUGUGGGAAGGCCCAGACAGCCAGGAUGUUGGCUUAGAAGCAGCCAUCAUUUAAAGAAAGCGUAAUAGCUCACUGGUCGAGUCGGCCUGCGCGGAAGAUGUAACGGGGCUAAACCAUGCACCGAAGCUGCGGCAGCGACACUAUGUGUUGUUGGGUAGGGGAGCGUUCUGUAAGCCUGUGAAGGUGUACUGUGAGGUAUGCUGGAGGUAUCAGAAGUGCGAAUGCUGACAUAAGUAACGAUAAAGCGGGUGAAAAGCCCGCUCGCCGGAAGACCAAGGGUUCCUGUCCAACGUUAAUCGGGGCAGGGUGAGUCGACCCCUAAGGCGAGGCCGAAAGGCGUAGUCGAUGGGAAACAGGUUAAUAUUCCUGUACUUGGUGUUACUGCGAAGGGGGGACGGAGAAGGCUAUGUUGGCCGGGCGACGGUUGUCCCGGUUUAAGCGUGUAGGCUGGUUUUCCAGGCAAAUCCGGAAAAUCAAGGCUGAGGCGUGAUGACGAGGCACUACGGUGCUGAAGCAACAAAUGCCCUGCUUCCAGGAAAAGCCUCUAAGCAUCAGGUAACAUCAAAUCGUACCCCAAACCGACACAGGUGGUCAGGUAGAGAAUACCAAGGCGCUUGAGAGAACUCGGGUGAAGGAACUAGGCAAAAUGGUGCCGUAACUUCGGGAGAAGGCACGCUGAUAUGUAGGUGAAGUCCCUCGCGGAUGGAGCUGAAAUCAGUCGAAGAUACCAGCUGGCUGCAACUGUUUAUUAAAAACACAGCACUGUGCAAACACGAAAGUGGACGUAUACGGUGUGACGCCUGCCCGGUGCCGGAAGGUUAAUUGAUGGGGUUAGCGCAAGCGAAGCUCUUGAUCGAAGCCCCGGUAAACGGCGGCCGUAACUAUAACGGUCCUAAGGUAGCGAAAUUCCUUGUCGGGUAAGUUCCGACCUGCACGAAUGGCGUAAUGAUGGCCAGGCUGUCUCCACCCGAGACUCAGUGAAAUUGAACUCGCUGUGAAGAUGCAGUGUACCCGCGGCAAGACGGAAAGACCCCGUGAACCUUUACUAUAGCUUGACACUGAACAUUGAGCCUUGAUGUGUAGGAUAGGUGGGAGGCUUAGAAGUGUGGACGCCAGUCUGCAUGGAGCCGACCUUGAAAUACCACCCUUUAAUGUUUGAUGUUCUAACGUUGACCCGUGAUCCGGGUUGCGGACAGUGUCUGGUGGGUAGUUUGACUGGGGCGGUCUCCUCCUAAAGAGUAACGGAGGAGCACGAAGGUUGGCUAAUCCUGGUCGGACAUCAGGAGGUUAGUGCAAUGGCAUAAGCCAGCUUGACUGCGAGCGUGACGGCGCGAGCAGGUGCGAAAGCAGGUCAUAGUGAUCCGGUGGUUCUGAAUGGAAGGGCCAUCGCUCAACGGAUAAAAGGUACUCCGGGGAUAACAGGCUGAUACCGCCCAAGAGUUCAUAUCGACGGCGGUGUUUGGCACCUCGAUGUCGGCUCAUCACAUCCUGGGGCUGAAGUAGGUCCCAAGGGUAUGGCUGUUCGCCAUUUAAAGUGGUACGCGAGCUGGGUUUAGAACGUCGUGAGACAGUUCGGUCCCUAUCUGCCGUGGGCGCUGGAGAACUGAGGGGGGCUGCUCCUAGUACGAGAGGACCGGAGUGGACGCAUCACUGGUGUUCGGGUUGUCAUGCCAAUGGCACUGCCCGGUAGCUAAAUGCGGAAGAGAUAAGUGCUGAAAGCAUCUAAGCACGAAACUUGCCCCGAGAUGAGUUCUCCCUGACCCUUUAAGGGUCCUGAAGGAACGUUGAAGACGACGACGUUGAUAGGCCGGGUGUGUAAGCGCAGCGAUGCGUUGAGCUAACCGGUACUAAUGAACCGUGAGGCUUAACCUUACAACGCCGAAGCUGUU
rnacentral:rRNA from 1 species